rnacentral:misc_RNA from 1 species
UUGUUGAUGAUGUUGAUGAUUGGCAAGGUGAGUGUUGGAGCAGCAAUUGCCUUUGUCUCAAUCUAUGUAGUUUAUGGUAUUUCUGUUGCUGCUGGCGAGAUUUUUAGGAAACACGCUCGGAGGUUGAAACUGGAUGUUAUUACGCCAUUGAUUCCUGUGCGAGGAAGUUAUGAAGACAAUUCAAGUGUGUAUAGUUCUCAGCUAGACAUUGAGACUGACAGUGAUGUACCCCAUCUACCUUCUUCCCUACCAUCAUGGAUGUGGGCCUCAAAUGUUGCAAUAUAUUCCAAUCACUCCCCAAAGUGCAGCAUGCUGGAUGAAGAAAGACCUCCGGGGGCUGGAAUGAUGAGGGAAGGGAGAUCAAUAACUCCUCAUUUUCAUGCUCUCGAUUAUUUUUGCUGAUUCAGAUGCCAUUGACAGUACCAAGACGGUUAACAAUUCCAUUGGUUGAUGAAGAAACAUGGUCAAAACCCUUUGCUGUAGCCAGUGCUACUUUGGCUCCUAUUCUUCUGGCAUUUCUGUGGAACAGCAAAGAUGACGUGGGCCCUCAAACUAGAAUUCUAGUGUAUUUUUUUGGAGUUUUGGUUGGUUGCUUACUUGGUUUUCUCGCAUACCGAUACACCUUGCCCAACCAUCCACCUCAAAGAUUAUUGCCUUUGUGGGUAUUAGGAGGAUUUUUUAUGAGUAUUGUGUGGUUCUACAUGAUAGCUAAUGAGCUUGUUGCUUUAUUGGUGGCAUUUGGCUUGAU